rnacentral:lncRNA from 1 species
UCUUCCCAUGAGAUUCUACUGAUACCUCAUCCAUGUAUUCUCUCAACUGGUCCACAGUGACCCCCAGAAUUCCAUGUGCCUCACCAACAUACCUCCAUAUGCUCUGGCCAGCUCUCUCUGCACUCUUGACAUUAUCAAGAAUGAUCUUUGCUAGAUACCUAGUAAGCAUGUGCAAAAAGCCUGUUCAAAUCUACCAGCCAGCAUGAAACCACAAUUUUGAAUUUAAGAAUGACUUUUGGGAAAGCAAAGGGGAAGUGUUAGCUCUGAGCCUUUGCAGGAUCAAGGAAAGGCAUACAAUCUGAUGAAUUAUGUCCCAAAGGAGAGCAAAAAUCAGAGAGUAGGCAUAUCCAUAGAAAGUCUGAGAAAGCCUCAGACUUAGCAAGGCUAUUUCUCUCCAAAGUCAAUUAUAAAGACUGGAGGAGGUGACUGCUGCAAAUUCAAAGAACAUGAAUAAUCAAGCAAACACAACACCACCAAAGGAUCACACUAAUGUUCAAGUAACCUACCCCCAAAACAUGAAAUCUGUAACUUACCUAAUAAAGAAUUCAAAAGAACUAUUUUAAGAAUGCUUGAUGAGCUAUAAGAAAACACAGAAAAUCAAGUCAAUAAAAUCAGGAAAACAAUACACAAAUUGAGAUGUUUAACAAGAGCCAGAAAUCAUAAAAAAGAACCAAAAAUAAAUUGUGGAGCUGAAGAAUAAAGUGAAUGAAAUGAAAAAUGCAAUAGAGACCAUCAAAGUCAAAAUGAAGCAAGCAGAAGGAAGAAUCUGGGAAUGAGAAAACAGAAAAUUUGAAAUUAUUCACUCAAAGAGGAACAAAGUGGAGAUUGAAGAAAGUCUGUGAAAUACCACUGAAAGAAUAAAUCUGCAAAUUAUAGGAAUCCCAGAGUGAGAAGUAAUGAAAAACUUAUUUAAAGGAAUAAUGGUGGAGAACUUUCCAAAUCUGGAAGAGGUUUCAACAUCCAAGUUCAUUAAGUUCAUAGGUCAUCAAACUAACUCAACUUAAAGAAAUAUCCUUGAAGACAUUUUAGUAAAACUCUCAAAAAUACAAUAAAGAUAAGUUCCUGCUGUGGUACAACAGGAUUGGCAGUAUCUUGGGAGCACUGGGACGCAGGUUCAAUCCCCAGCCCAGCACAGUGGGUUAAGGAUCUGGUGUUACUGCAACCUAGGUCAUAACUGAGGCUCAGAUUUGAUCCCUGGCCCAGGGGCUCCGUAUGCCAUGGGGG